CUUUAUUCACAUCAAUGUUGUCACAAAUGCAUCGUCCAUAGGAACACACUGGAAUGAAAUUACAAACAAGGUGCUUCGUAUUCAUUUGCUGGAAAACGCGUACAGUUAUACGUGAGAUACAAAGUCAACAAAGAUUUCAUUGGCAUUAUGGAGGACCCAUCGCCUGCCCAGGGAGGAGGUGGCGGAAUUAUGGGCAAAAGCCAUUCUCAUAAAUCCCCCCCCCCCCCCCCCCCCCGAUAAGGCCACGGGUCACUUUUCAUCAGAUUUUCACACACAAACAAAACUGACGCAAAAUUGGCAACUGGAAAAUAAAAAAAAAUUAUACAUUUACCUGAAUAUCAAAAAAUAUCAUCGGUUCCUGGUUUCACCCAGAAGUAACUACACGCGCAUAGCCUACAUAAAUGACAACGAUGAAAAGUCUACAGUAAUAGGCAUCUCCAGCCUCCACCGCCAGAAAUUACCUCGUUAGCGCACAGCCGACCAAUCAGGAAGAGGAGACGCUCAAUGCUUUAUUGCUGGGAACAGUGGCUGAUACAGUUAUCCUCACGUUCACCGUGGCACAGUCUGGUCCAGGCAGGAACAACAAUGCAGCUUAUGCCAUUUGAAAAGUCAAGUUUGCAAAAAACAUUAAAGCUCAUCUUUAAAAAUAAAAUAAAAUCCAUGGCUGGUGAAAAAAAUAUAAAUUACUGCUUUAUAAUACAAACAUGAAAAUUGUUCCAUAAAUAACGGGUACGGUCUACAUUUGGUCUGGCUGGGUGCAACACACCAAUUCUACCACACGAUGGCAGUAUUCCACCAUUAAACGUUUCACCAAACAGACAAUGAGAAGAAAGCUCUAAUACUUCUGCUGAUCUAAAGUAGGAUGGAAAUCAAAACGGCAACUUGACUGGGUACGUUUUAGACAACUGCCCCCCAUGUAAGCUGUGGAGAUUGUGACAAAAAAAAUAAAAUAAAUAGACCUAAAAAAGGUAAUAUUGCUGCGCUACUAUUAUGAGCUAUGGCAAUAUACAGAAGGGUAGAGAAAGCGGGCACUACUACUUCUUGUGCUAGUAAUAGCACCUAUAUAUGAAUUACAUAAAAAAAAAAAAAUAAUAAUAAAAAGUGCAUGCUUUCCGCAAGGAGCUGUAAUAGACCACAUCCACCACUUGGUGGCCAGUUGUGUCCCCACAAACACAAUUUAUUUUUUUUAUUCAUUUAAAGGGAAAUAACCUAGCAAAGAAAAGUGUGUGCAAAUAAAAUGAAAUAUUGCAUGGCAAAUAAUACUUAUCACAGUGAUGAUAAAUAUGGACGUUUACCUGCACAAGAUCUAGGCACCCAUUCUGCACAAUGAGAACUAGAACCAUUACUGUGCCAUGAGCUGCUGUGUCACUGGGAUACACUUCUAACUAUCUGGGAGGGUGGGCAGCCAGCGAUCAUCAUCCACACUACUCAAUGCAUACAGCACACAUGUGCUGAAAUAAUUCUCUAAUAUAGAGGUUUCCUUUCAUACAAACUGUGCAGCAAUGCCAGCUUCAUCAUAAGGGGCCAUCACAGUGUGAAGGUAUACUUGGAGUUGUAGUCUCCCAACAGCUCCGACCUAUAGGUAGAUUGUUUAUCUGUACCACCUCCAGGGAUAAUGAAGGGUCACCAGCCAGCAGGCUGUUUGGUAACACGCACACGGAUCUAAUGGUGCCGGGUUGUCCAGCAGGUCACCUGCACAUCCUCAUCAAUGAGAAACGUGAACACGGGGGAGGAGAAGGUGAACAGCAGUCACCUUAUGUCCUACUAAUAAAUAUGCACACAUCUAUAAGGCCUCAUGCACACAACCAAAUGCAUUUUC